GUGGCAGUGUUGCAGGAGGCAAGCAGAAAAUGAUGGCUGGGAAAUAGAAUCAGUACAUGGCUGCCAAGAUCCAGAUGCUGGAGAAGCACUUCUGCUAUGCAAGAGGAUGGGACGCUGUCUGAAAUAUUUAGUGGAACACAGAGAUCAAGAUGUAGAACUCU